rnacentral:misc_RNA from 1 species
GUGAACACAAGCUCCACCACACCAGUAUCUCAAAUAAAAUAAUAUGGCCAAGUUUUUAGUUUUAUUAAUUUUUACUUUCUGUCUGGCGUUGCAGCUUGUCAAAGCAUUUCCGCAAAAUGUCGCAGAGCCGGAGCAGUCUACAGAUCUCGAGGUGAACAAGGAUUUCGGAACGGAGUUGGCUAAAAGCACAACAACAACAGUACCGGCCACAACUGAUGCUGUCACAGAUGAAAGCACUGAUUCUAAACAAGAAAGCGAUUCCGAUUCUACUGAAGAUUUUUCAUAUCCUCCAUUAAAGUAUUACAUAAUAAAAAAUCGCCUAACGCUCUUCACACUUAAAGUUGUACAAAAUCACCUAAAUACUAUUCUAACUGUAGGUCACGAAUAUACCACCGCCUCAUUGAAGGCCCUGAAUGAAAUGCCUAAUAAGACGUCGGAUAUAAAAGCGAACAUAACGCAUCUGAAUGAUUUAUUGGCACGCUUGGAGGGGCUAGAUUUGGCGAAAAAUAAUUUUGAUGGGUUUCUUGACAAAAUUGGUCUCAUAAAUGGCUUAAAAUAAUUAUAUCAAAAUUUUACAGAACUCAGGCGUUUUGAUGAUGAUGUGCUGAGCGAAUUAUAUAUGACACUCGGUUUAAGAAUCGAAGCUUCAUUGAAGGAGACCAUUGAGAAAUUAAACGUAAUUUUUCACAAUUUCUUCGGUGCAUUGGAUGAGGAAGAGAAGCAGAGAUUUUCAGAACAAGUUGAAGCUUAUGAUAAAUAUAUAUCGCGUGAUACGGAUUUAGCUAAAUUCAGUGAUGCGGUGUUCUUGCUGUUAAACAAUCCCAUUUGAUGCCUAUUUUUCUAUUUGAAAAGAGUUCAGAAAGGUCUGCGAAAAUAUUAUUCUUCGCCAUAAUCAAGAAAAAGCUCUGAAUUAUUACUAUUUUUUGGAGAUUUGAAAGAAAUAAUUUGGUUUUAAUAUCUUGACUGCUCCUGAUGUGUUUCAAAGAGAUCAGUCAGCAGAGACGAAAUAAAAAAUAUUAUUGUAUUCUUACCUUUCACGAUAAUUUACCUCUUCGUCAGAACAUUUUAGUGCUUUAGUUUUUUUUAAUGUGUAAUUUAUUUACCGGCACUAAUAAUUGUUCGAGCUUGCCUCUUUUCCAUGGUUUAGCAAUACAAAUUAUAUAAAAAUACUUGGAGACACGUAACAAACAAAUGAAAUCUAUUUAA